rnacentral:rRNA from 1 species
UACGGGGGGGGGCAAGCGUUGUUCGGAAUUACUGGGCGUAAAGGGCUCGUAGGCGGCCAACUAAGUCAGACGUGAAAUCCCUCGGCUUAACCGGGGAACUGCGUCUGAUACUGGAUGGCUUGAAUCCGGGAGAGGGAUGCGGAAUUCCAGGUGUAGCGGUGAAAUGCGUAGAUAUCUGGAGGAACACCGGUGGCGAAGGCGGCAUCCUGGACCGGCAUUGACGCUGAGGCGCGAAAGCCAGGGGAGCAAACGGG